rnacentral:RNase_P_RNA from 1 species
UGAGCAGGCCGGGCGGCCGCGGGUGGCCUGGUCCAUCCGAGGAAAGUCCGGGCUCCACAGGGCAGGACGCUGGGUAACGCCCAGGCGGGGUGACCCGCAGAAAGUGCCACAGAAACCACACCGCCGGCCCUGGGCCGGUAAGGGUGAAAUGGUGGGGUAAGAGCCCACCAGAGGUCGGGCGACCGACCUGCUGGGUAAACCUCGUCCGGAGCAAGGCCAAGCCGGGGCAUGGGUGGCCCGCCCGUUCGCCCCAGGUAGGCCGCUGGAGCCGGCGGGAAACCGUCGGCCUAGAGAGAUGGCCGCCCCCGGCCGGUCCGGCGCCGGGGCCGGCCGGGACAGAACCCGGCUUACAGGCCUGCUCGCCGC